ACAAGCGGUGGAGCAUGUUGGUUUAAUUCGACGCAACGCGAAGAACCUUAACCAGGUUCUUGACAUCCGACGCAAGGCACUAGAGAUAGUGAGAUAGUUAUGGUCGAGACAGGUGGUGCAUGGUUGUCGUCAGCUCGUGUCGUGAGAUGUUUGGUUAAGUCCAGCAACGAGCGCAACCCCUGUCCUUAGUUACCAUCAUUUAGUUGGGGACUCUAAGGAGACUGCCGAUGUAAAUCGGAGGAAGGUGGGGAUGACGUCAAAUCAUCAUGCCCUUUAUGACCUGGGCCACACACGUGCUACAAUGGGCGAUACAAAGAGAUGCAACUGCGCGAGCACAAGCCAACCUCAAAAAAUCGUUCUCAGUUCAGAUUGGAGUCUGCAACUCGACUCCAUGAAGAUGGAAUCGCUAGUAAUCGCGAAUCAGCUACGUCGCGGUGAAUACGUUCUCGGGGUUU
rnacentral:rRNA from 1 species